rnacentral:lncRNA from 1 species
AAUUGCAAACUGCUGUCGUCUGAGGGUGGGCUGCUCCCCUCCUGUCUGUCCCCAGCUCUCCUGCACGCAGAGUCUCAGGGCUCCGCCCCAGGCCCUGCCCACCCCUGCGCUUUCCGCCAGGCCUGCAGCCUCCGCCUCCAUACAACCUGGCCUCCCUGCCACCCCCGUGCGUCUCACCCCUCACCCAGAAGUUCAUGGCCUUCCGCAGCUCACCCAGCUCAGAAACCAGUCCUCGGCCUUCUGGGUAGGUCCGCGACCCCAGCAGCUGCCAGCCACCGAGGCCGAGCCUUUGAGGGCCUCCCUUCCUCUUCUCCGGUCCAGCACGGAGGCGCCCGGGCCGGGAGUCCGCACACAUGCACCCCCCGAGCCUCCAUCCACCCCAGCCCCCUGCCCGAGCCGCCAGGCUGUCUCUUCUGCAGGGGGGGCCGGGAUCCCGAUGCCCCCACACCCCUGCACAAGCCCGGCUCAGCCCGGCCGUCACUGAAGUCCUCCUGGGCCUGCCUGGCCCGGUCACAGCAGCCGGCAGGGAAAUCCCCAGUAGACACUGUGAAACUCAGGCAUGUCGAGAUAAGUCACAAAGUCACUGUGAGAAAGAUCCAACCGUCAGGACCUUCUCAGGCUCCUUGGCUCCUCACGUUUGUGCCAAGUUGGGAGGGUGACUCCAGACGUCACCCGUUCACCACGGUGCCCAGACACAGCCUCAAGGCCAACCUGGCCACACUGGAGACAGGGUGCCGGGUCUGCCCGCCUCCCGGCCAUUCUGCGCUAAAACUUGCUCCCCAGUACGGCAGGGGCGGCUGGAGAGGGAGCACCCUGUCGUUGUCUUCUUGUCUUUUGUUCGCUGACAGGUGGGGCGUCCACCCUGUUAGGACGGGCAGCAUGGCGUGGGAAGGGCAGGGUCGGGCAGAGGGCCCAGGCGGGAAGGGCAGGCUCACGGCAGCGAAAGGGCUGACCCGCGCCCCUCGCCCCCUCCCAGCCACCAGUCCUGCUUCGGUGACCAGAGACGGGCUGAGAUCACUGGGAAGUGCUGGCGAGCAACCCUUGUGGGCUGAGUAG